UAAACAUUCCCCGAUUGGUUGAAAAGCUGUAGCCUCGAUGUAAAGCAACGCAAGCACACGCAAAAAUUUCCGUUGAUAUGUUGAACUUCCGACCCCUGGCCGAUUCACAAGGAGACUUUCUUGCGCUCAAAUGUAAUUCUAAGUGAAGUAUACUGGGAAAGUAAAAUUAUAUUCUUUUACAGAAAUAUUUACACAUUUUAUCAUUAAUGUAUUGUCAUGCUUCUGCAUAUUUACGCUGAGCUUUAGUAAAAUAUAAUUCUAUACAAAUUUUGUUACGUCAAGCAUUAAGAGUAAGAAUAUUUUUCGCGCCAAAACAAGAAAAUAAUCUGUGUCACCAAAUAAGUUUAUCAGCAUCUUUCUGAAAUUUUCCAACAGAAAAUAGCGUUAAUUAUAGAGAAAUUUUGGUUUUGAAGAUCAGAUGUCAUAGUGUAGUUUCAUAGACAAAAAAGUACCAUGAUUGUUCCUGUUCAGUAGUUGUGAUUUUUUUUUUAUAGAAUUAGAAGGUAAGUCUACAUUAGUCAUUAUUUAAAGUCUGAAAAAAAUGACUCAACGCUCUGUGUUAUUUUUCCCCAAUUUUUGAAACAUGCAUAAUUUAAAGAGCAUUUGCUUCCCUUGAACCCUCCCCCCUACAAAUUGCCUAAAACUCAUACUCAUAGUCCGAGAUUACUCUGAUGUCCAACAUCUGUUUUUGCGAUUCCUGCAUUUUAACUCUUUAUUUUCAAAUAGAACACACUCGGCCAUUCAGCUUAUUUUCAUCAUAAAUGAACUAUUAGAUUAUGUUUUCCUAUUGAAUAAGGGUCAUUUUCAUAAAUCAGCUCUCAUAAUGCAUUGUAAAUUACUUUUUCUGUUGGUCAUGUUACAAUCUUUUAAAGUUAAAGUAAAAAUACCAGUAUUGAUGUGUCAAUGUGAAAACUGUCCAAAUGUGAGAAAAUAGCAGGUGGCAGGUCGAUUAAACUUACUUAAAUGAAGAGAAAAAUGAACUAAUUGAGGCUCGAUUUAUAUAGAUUGUUUUCCUAUUGAAUAAGGGUCAUUUGCAUAAAUCAGUUACCAUAAUGUUGGUCAUGUGACAUUCUUAUAAAGUGAAAGUUAAAAUGAGGGUGGUAAUGGGGGUACCUUCAUGACGAAUAACGGUAAAAAAUCUUGCCAAAUGACAACGGUAAUUUUUGGUGCAUGACGAUAAAAUGAAGACUUUCUUCAAGAUGAUAAAAAAAUUGACAGAUUUUGACAGAUCGCGUUAAUUUUUUGCCAAAAAUAACGGUAACGAUAAUUAUUUUAGACCUCUGAUGAAUCACGAUAAGGAUAUGUUGACGAAUCACGGUAAAAUGUUAACAUAUUUGACGCUAACAGUAGCCGAAAAUGACAGUUAGACGCCUGCCGGUAAAGGGCAUUCAUACCCUCUAAAAUGUCAGUAUUGAUGGCAGAGGCGGAUUUAGGGGGGCCAGGGGCCCGGGUCCCCCCUUUUGUGGGAUAAAUUUGGUUGAUUAUUUAGGGAAUCAUUGAAGCAUGACUGGGGUGGGCCCCCUCUUAGGCAGUCAGUGGGCCCCUUCUUAUGAAAAUUUCUGGAUCCGCCACUGGAUGGGUCAAUGUGAAAACUGUCCAAAUAUGAGAAGAUAACGGGUGGCAGGUUGAUCAAACUUACUUAAAUGAAGAGAAAAAUGAAUAAAUUGAGGCUUGAUUUAUAUGGAUCCAGUUGACUCCAGAAGCAACGAAGCAGCACAUCCACUUUGGACGGGCAAAUAUCAUCUAUCUGAUAUGGGACCAGCUGAAGUCCCACUGCCCUAGCUGGUGUCGCAAAACAAUCGUUGGAGGUUAGAGUAAUCUCCGACUACAAAACUCAAUUCCAAUGACAAAAAUGCCCUAAUCUUAAAUUAAAAGCAUUGGAAAAGUAAACUGUAAAUUAUAAUUUUGACAAUGACCACAAUUUGUUUUAGUUCAAUGUACAUGUAAUAAUAUGCGGGAUAAUACAUGAACUUAAUACUGCUUCAAGGUUAUACAGGUUUGUCAAUGUAAAAAUAAAAUAAUUUGUUUGCUAACUUAGGGAGCUACCAUUUGAAUUUUAGGGGGGGGGGGGGGGGGGGGGGG